CAACGGCCAAAUUGGAGCUCUUCCAGGGCAAUGCCGCGAGCUACGGUUAAAUGAAGGAACUCGUUUGCGUGGUCGCCCAAUAGUACUUUUGCAGGCGAAAUUAGUUGAGGUCGGGCGUACAUGGAGUCGAGGCAUAGCCAACAGCAUUGCUUCCGCGUACUCAUUCUAUUUCUGUUUUCUUUGUUACCUAGUGGAUUAGUAUUGCUCUGAUAACCUAUGGGAUUAAUAUUGCUUUUGGGUUGAGACUGAUAUUUGUGAAAUUGGAGUUGUGAUUUGGGGAGCAGAUGGCUCCAGAAGAUUAAGGAUGGAUGAUUUAGAAGUGUAAAUGUUUUCCUACAGGUUUUGGGUAGCCUACUUUUAGGGGAAG